AUUGAACGCUGGCGGCAGGCCUAACACAUGCAAGUCGAGCGGUAGAGAGGUGCUUGCAUCUCUUGAGAGCGGCGGACGGGUGAGUAAUGCCUAGGAAUCUGCCUAGUGGUGGGGGAUAACGUUCGGAAACGGACGCUAAUACCGCAUACGAUCUACGGAUGAAAGCGGGGGACUCGCAAGAGCCUCGCGCGAUUGGAGCGGCCGAUAUCAGAUUAGGUAGUUGGUGGGGUAAAGGCUCACCAAGCCAACGAUCUGUAGCUGGUCUGAGAGGACGACCAGCCACACUGGAACUGAGACACGGUCCAGACUCCUACGGGAGGCAGCAGUGGGGAAUAUUGGACAAUGGGCGAAAGCCUGAUCCAGCCAUGCCGCGUGUGUGAAGAAGGUCUUCGGAUUGUAAAGCACUUUAAGUUGGGAGGAAGGGCAGUAAGUUAAUACCUUGCUGUUUUGACGUUACAACAGAAUAAGCACCGGCUAACUUCGUG
rnacentral:rRNA from 1 species